rnacentral:lncRNA from 1 species
UGGUCGCUUUAUCAAAUUAAUCUUUUAAGUGAUGACUAAAUAAGGGUGUUGGUGCAUUGGGUUUAGUAUCUUUUGAUACAUUUUUGUAUCAGUUGUUGAAGGACAAUAAAGUGAUGUGCUAGUUUUCGUCGUACGAUCCGUUCUUCCUUGUAGGUAAAAAAGGUAAAAUGGAGACGGUAGAUAAGCUGUUCUGUCCCAUUCUGGA